CAAGGACGAGCCCACCUUUGUGCGCUACACACCAAAUCCCAGUGCGCCUGGGUACAACCCGAAUGCCAAGCAGCGCAUCAUCCGCAUGGUGGAGCAGCAGGUGGACCCCAUG
rnacentral:ribozyme from 1 species